GCGGUGUAGGUGGAAGCAGCGGUGGAGGAGGAGGAUGAGGUAGCCAACACUGUUUUUUAUAUAUAUAUAUUUUUUAAUUGGGGUAGCCCCCAAAAUAUUGGGACAUAUAAAAAAAGACAACUCUGUUCCACAGAGUAGCUGUUGACAUUAUAGUUGCGCAGGCACUUUGUUGACUCUAGAGAACCUCGGGCCAAUUGCACAUCCCCGUGGUGGCGAGUUUGCAUGUGGAUGUCAUCUAUAACAACUUUCGUUGCCAGUUUCUGCACCUACCAUGGUGAGCAUGGGUGACAGGGAAUCACGGUUCCAUUCUGUACAGGGACCCUGAGAAAUGGCUACCACAUGCAAGGAAGACAGCAGGCG